GACGAACGCUGGCGGCGUGCUUAACACAUGCAAGUCGAACGGAAAGGCCCUGCUUGCAGGGUGCUCGAGUGGCGAACGGGUGAGUAACACGUGGGUGAUCUGCCCCUUACUUUGGGAUAAGCCUGGGAAACUGGGUCUAAUACUGGAUAGGACCAUGCUGUAGGUGGUGUGGUGGAAAGAUUUUUUCGGUAAGGGAUGAGCUCGCGGCCUAUCAGCUUGUUGGUGGGGUAAUGGCCUACCAAGGCGUCGACGGGUAGCCGGCCUGAGAGGGUGGACGGCCACAUUGGGACUGAGAUACGGCCCAGACUCAUACGGGAGGCAGCAGUGGGGAAUAUUGCACAAUGGGCGCAAGCCUGAUGCAGCGACGCCGCGUGGGGGAUGACGGCCUUCGGGUUGUAAACGCCUUUCAGCCAUGACGAAGCCUCUUUUGGGGUGACGGUAGUGGUAGAAGAAGCACCGGCUAACUACGUG
rnacentral:rRNA from 1 species